CUAUGAUCUGUGCGUUGCCUUCAGGUUCAGUAAUUUGUGUUUUUUCAAAGUUGUGUGCUGUUUCUCGUGUGCGCAGUUGCUUCACAGGUGGAGGCAUAAUAUAUUCUGAGGCUAGGUUCGGUACAUUCAGAUUCAUGUAAAGUCCUUGCUGGGAUGAUCCAUUAUGUUUGUGAGUAGGCUUGUUGAUUGGUGGUGAGGGUUUUCUGCUGAAGCCUUAACGUAAAG